ACAAUUAAAUAGCUAUUCUUAUCCUCUGACCUGAAAAUAGAAGACACGAUGUCCUCAAAACACGUCCAAUUAUUAAUUUUAGAAUAUAUUUAUUUAUUCAUUUUAUACAGUUUGUUUCACCGAAGUCAUCUGAAGUUAGGAUUCGAUUAACGGCAGCAUAUAACAAGCAGAGAAGAACAAGUGUACAGAAAUAAAUGACUCUUCCUCACUAUUGUAUAAAAUGAUGUAUUUUUAUUUAGAGGUUAUUUUCUAAACAUUUACAAAACAGACGUCGGUUAAAGAAUGACCAUUGUCUACAGGUGAUCGUAGUUAGCAGGUGGCCGUGUGUAUUAUUGAACAGCACGUGUAACAACUAAACCUUGAAAGCAACACAUAUCACUAGGGAUAUUCCGAUACUCUAUCUGGUUAACCAUCUCGCUGGAAAAGGAAACCCUUCCCAACACAUUCUGGCAUCAUAUCCUUUCAGAAUAAAAUCCAGCAGAUUGUGCUUCACGUGGAAUUCUUCCUAAUCAAUUACUUUGUGGUUUCUUUAUGGUGGACUGGACCAGGUGGUUUCAAGAUCCAAUAAACAAAUGGUAAAAUUUUCAGAUGAAGAUGAAGUUGCAAAGAGAAAAAGGAAAAGAACUCAUGCUAUUUAUGACAAGAUUAAUGAUAAAUUUUUACACAGAUAUUCAUUUUUUUCUACCCUUCAAUGUGUUACUAAAUACUACUAUCUUAGAUUCAUCAAUAUUACAAU